GGGAGGCAGCAGCAAGGAAUUUUCGGCAAUGGGCGCAAGCCUGACCGAGCAACGCCGCGUGGAGGAUGACGGCUUUCGGGUUGUAAACUCCUUUUGGGAGGGACGAUAAUGACGGUACCUUCCGAAUAAGCCCCGGCUAACUCUGUGCCAGCAGCCGCGGUAAUACAGAGGUCCCAAGCGUUGUUCGGAUUCACUGGGCGUAAAGGGUGCGCAGGUGGGCUGGCAAGUUCGAUGUGAAAGCCCCGGGCUUAACCCGGGAAUGGCAUUGAAAACUGUCGGUCUGGAGGGUUGGAGGGGGGACUGGAAUUCUUGGUGUAGCAGUGAAAUGCGUAGAUAUCAAGAG
rnacentral:rRNA from 1 species